rnacentral:lncRNA from 1 species
AACCAUGGAAGGUAGAAUGGAAAUUAUAAUAAUAAAAUCUUAAUUCUAAUAGAAUACUAAAUAAACUCUAAUUAAAUCUUAAUAAUGAGCUUUAAUCAAAUUCAAAAGAAACCUUAAAGAAAAUAUAAAAGAAACAAUAAAAAUCUUAAAGGAAUUAAAAGAUAAUCUAUAAUCAACCUUAAAAGAAUCCUUAAAAAGUCCAAAAAAAUAUUAAAAUAAUUAUGAUAUGUCUUAAAUAAAUCUCAAUCAAGUUUUAAUUUAAUCCUAGUUAAAAUUAUAAUAGAAUUUAAUCAAACCUUAGAUAAAUCUUUAAUCCUAAAUCAAACCCUAAUCAAAUCUUAGACAAAUAUCAAAUCUUAAUCAAAUCCUAAUCAAAUCCUAAUCAAAUCCUAAAUCUUCAAACCAAAUCCUAACCAAAUCCUAAAUCUUGAAUCAAAUCCUAAAUAAAUUCUAAAUCUUAAAUCAAAUCCUUAACCAAAUAUUAAAUUCCAAACCAAAUUUUAAAUCCUAAAUGAAAUCCUAAAUCUUAAACCACAUCCUAAAUCUUAAAUUAAAUCCUAAAAUAGUUUAGAACUUCAAUAUCUUUUGAUUAAACUAUUGAUCUUGUUUAAAAUUUUUUAAAACUUUG